rnacentral:rRNA from 1 species
GAUGAACGCUGGCGGCGUGCUUAACACAUGCAAGUCGAACGAAACACCUCUCCCGAAGAUUGACACAGCUGUUGGUAAUUGAUUCAUUUGACGUGACUGAGUUGCCGUUGGGUUAGGAAUGCCUUGGUAACCCUCCUCAUAAUAGCGGAAAACAGUUGGUAACGACUGGUAAUACCUGCAAAUUAUAAGCAGUUGGAUGUUUUCUUCCUUAAAGAUUUAUUGUUAUGAGAUUGAUCCCUGUCUGAUUUGCUAGUUGGUAAGGUAACGGCUUACCAAGGCGGCGAUCAGUAGCCGGCUUGAGAGAGUGAACCGCCACAUUGGGACUGAGACACGGCCCAAACUCCUACGGGAGGCAGCAGUGGGGAAUAUUGCACAAUGAGGGAAAACCUAAUGCAGCGACGCCGCGUGAGUGAAGAAGUAUUUCGGUAUGUAAAGCUCUAUCAGCAGGGAAGAUAAUGACGGUAACUGACUAAGAAGCACCGGCUAACUACGUG